GUUCAUAUUUUUAUGGUGGUUGUUGCAGCCAUGUUGUCAUCGGAUCUCUGUUUGCUUGAGCUUAAUUUCUGGGCAAUUAGAAAAAAUUGCAUAAAUGGGAUACUUUGAAGCUGAUGUUUAAAUUGUCAGUGGUGAUAGAAGAUGAUUUUAUCAAUCUUUCAUUCCCUUCUGAGCUUAUUAAUUGGGCAUUUGAGAUUAUCCGACCCGUAUCUUGGCAGGGCAUGCCGCUAAAUUUUCUGGUGGUUUUUGCAGCCAAGGUGAUGUCGAAUCUCUUUUUGCAUCUGUCAAGUUGAAGUGUCCAAGUAAUCACUGUCCAACUGACAAUUCAUGGCAAGUUUGAGGGGCUAUCUAUGUAUUGGCCUAUCUAAAGUAACAAUACAAUACAAUACAAUGAUUAACAACCAUCCAAACAAGCUCUUAUUGAUUCAUUCGGUUUAGACACAAGUUAUGCCAAUAUGAUUGACGGCUUUAAAGAGGCAAUGAUGAUUUUAGCAACUUAUCAUUCCCUUAUGAGCUUAAUAAUCGAACGCUUGAGAUUAUCCAGCUUAUAUCUUGGCAGGGUAUAACCCCAGAUUUUCUGGUGGUUUUUGCAGCCAUGGCAUCAUUGGAUCUCUUUUUGCCCGGGAUAUACCACAGAUCUGAGCCUUAUUUUCUAGGAAUUCUUCUUAGUAUAAGUCUGAGGUUGUGGUGAAAACAGAGAGCUGUGGAGAGUUCCUAUGGGUUGUUUUGCCCCUCUCUGUCAUUCUCAAGCUGCCAAUGAUCUCUCAAAUGGAAGUUUUUUAAUUGCAAAUUCAUCCUUAGUUGAUUGAUUUAUUUAUUACUCCCUCCGUUCCACUUUUUAGAGACUGCGAAGAUUGUUGUUUGUGAAAGAUCAUCAUACAUUUUCUGCUUGAGCUGAAAAAACUGUUGAAGCUGAGAAGUUCUCUUUUAAAUGCAGAAUUUUGAGGUCUUUUCGUUUUAAGCUCUCUUAUAAGUGAAUUCCAUUUAUUAGGUUAGCCCAGAAAUAGAGGAAUAAGGAUGCAGAGAGUAUCGGAUUUUUUUCAAGGGCGGUUGCCCCUGUCUGCUUUGCCUAUGAUUCUCCCCUUCUCAACAAACCAACAGCCUUUAAGAGAAAGAAAGAGCAACGUAGUACUUCAGUUUCUGGUAUCUGGAUGAUCAUUCAUGAAAUUUCCCCGAUUUUCAAGUAUACCACAACAAUUACGCCACCUUCAGAUCUUCAGUCUGUCUUCUCUUGGCACUUUGCAUAUUUCUUCCCGUUUUCUCUUAUUGUUAGUGGAAACUGGAAAGUGUUCCAUUAUGAUGCAUUCUGCUACAGAAAGGGGCUAUGAUGAUGCUUAUAUAUCUUCUAGUUCUGUGCUGAUCAUGGAACAUUGAGAUGAACCGACCCGUAUCUUGGUGUGGCAACCCGGUGUGGCCUGUUGAGAACUUCUCUCCCUCUCAUGCAAUCGGUGUUUUGCAGCCAUGGCGAGACUGGCUUCUCUUUUACCAUAUCAUUGCAUGCAUCUGAGCCUCAAUUUGUUGAAGAACAUAAGUAGGCGUUUGGAUACUGUUGCAGUUGAAGUUGUGAAAUUCUCUUAAAUGCAGACUUGUGAGGUCUCUUAAGUUAAAAGCUCUCAUCUAAACGAACUCUCUUAUUUUAGCAGAAAUGACGAGUAUGAGGCAGCAGAGAGUAUGGGAUUUCUUUCAAGGGUGGUUGCCCCUCUCUGCUUUGCCUAUGAUUCUCCCCUUCUCAACAAACCAACAGCCCUUAACAAAAAGAAAAAGAGAAAAUAUAUCAACUUCAGUUUCUUGGUUUCUUUUGGUCCUGUUGUUGUGAUACAUACUCAAAACCCAAACACUUCAGUUUCCUUGUUUCUUCAGUCUGUCUCCUUUAUGGCUUUGGAAACUCUUAAAAAGGCAGUGAUGAUAACUUUUUCUAAAUCUGGUUAGCCCAGUUCAGGCAUGGAGACGAUCUGAUCCAUAUCUUGGCGUGGCAACCCAGUAUGGCUGUGAUUGUUAAAAGUGUCUACCUGGCAUUAUGCUACCUGUGAUGAGAGUUUCUUCUCUCACACACACAACCAAUGUUUUGCAGCCAUGGCAUCGUUGACUUCUCUUUUGCCUUAUAUCUGAGCCUCAAUUUGCUAAGGAAAGUAUAUCUUUUUUAUGCGUGUAUAUGGAAUAUAUCGAACCCACACCUUUUUGCAUACAAGUGAAGUUAUAUUGUUGUUCCCUCGUAAUGUGUUGCCAAAUCUUUUAUCCGUAAUAGCUCAAGAAUGAGGUAUUUGAGUGAAAUGUGGGAUUUUCGUGAUGGUGGUUCCCUUCCUACUCUGCAAAUGAAUGUUUUUGGGCGUGAUGAUGAUGGGGCUAAACAAUUUCAGCGUUGAGGCUACUAACCCAUAUCUGGGCUUGGCAAAUCAGUGGAAUAUUGACUGGUGAUUUGAGUCCUCUUUCGCAUGCACGGUGCACGACUGGUGUUUUGCAGCCAUGGCACGGUUACCUUCUCUUUGCCUGGUCGUUUCUGCAGAUCUGAGACUCACCUUUUUUCGGCACCUGCAAAUUUGUAUCCAAAGAUCAAUAAACAGCAGGCAGUUCUAGAGCAAGUGAAUUUGAAAGCAGUCUCUUUUGCACACAUAUUGCAUCAAUAAUUUUGCUUUAUCUUCAGUAUUCAAAUAAAAUAAUGAGGAAACAUAGGGAAAUAUGAGGAUAUUCCUUUAGAUAUGUUGUUCUUAGUUUCUAGUUUUCCUCAUCCAUUGCAGUAAUUAGCUUGGAAGUUGGAAGAAUCAUGGCUGAAUGGUACUUGUCUAUAACUUUGUUUUUUUGUCUUAUGGCUUUGAUGGCCUUUUGUGCAUAUGUUCUACUAAUUUUUUUGCUCUUUGUUGAUGCCUUGGCUGGGAGAUUGUUCCUUGGAAGCAGUUGUCUGGAGUACAGCGUCUCCCACCAAAAUAUCGGGAAGGAUUCAAUGUCUUGAAACUUAGUAACACAAGACAACUCACUGAUUUGUUGUUAGCUCUACCGGAGGAGUCUGAAAUCAACACCUAACUGCUUGGGCAUUGAGUCUGAAAUCAACACGUUACAUUUUAUAAAAUUGUAAGGCGCAUGUCAGGCUGCGCCUUACUAUAGUACUAUUUAACGACAUCCACCUUCCUUACCCUUUUGAUUUAAUUAUUUUUUGUUGUCCUUU